ACUUUGCCGGAUUAGCUGAGAGGUGGUGCAUGGCCGUCGUCAGUUCGUACUGUGAAGCAUCCUGUUAAGUCAGGCAACGAGCGAGACCCACGCCCACAGUUGCCAGCGUACUCUCUGGAGUGACGGGUACACUGUGGGGACCGCCGCUGCUAAAGCGGAGGAAGAAUGGGCAACGGUAGGUCAGUACGCCCCGAAUAUCCCGGGCUACACGCGAGCUACAAUGGUUGGUACAAUGGGUAUCUACCCCGAAAGGGGACGGGAAUCUCCUAAAACCAAUCUUAGUUCGGAUUGAGGGCUGCAACUCGCCCUCAUGAAGCUGGAAUCCGUAGUAAUCGCGUUUCAACAGAACGCGGUGAAUACGUCCCUGCUCCUU
rnacentral:rRNA from 1 species